rnacentral:rRNA from 1 species
UUCUCCUGGAAAAGGGUGGUAAUGCCGGAUGCUCCAGUUGAUCGCAUGGUCUUUUGGGAAAGCCUUUGCGGCAUGGGAUGGGGUCGCGUCCUAUCAGCUUGAUGGCGGGGUAACGGCCCACCAUGGCUUCGACGGGUAGCCGGCCUGAGAGGGCGACCGGCCACAUUGGGACUGAGAUACGGCCCAGACUCCUACGGGAGGCAGCAGUGGGGAAUAUUGCACAAUGGGCGCAAGCCUGAUGCAGCGACGCCGCGUGAGGGAUGGAGGCCUUCGGGUUGUAAACCUCUUUUGUUAGGGAGCAAGGCAUUUUGUGUUGAGUGUACCUUUCGAAUAAGCACCGGCUAACUACGUGCCAGCAGCCGCGGUAAUACGUAGGGUGCAAGCGUUAUCCGGAAUUAUUGGGCGUAAAGGGCUCGUAGGCGGUUCGUCGCGUCCGGUGUGAAAGUCCAUCGCUUAACGGUGGAUCCGCGCCGGGUACGGGCGGGCUUGAGUGCGGUAGGGGAGACUGGAAUUCCCGGUGUAACGGUGGAAUGUGUAGAUAUCGGGAAAGAACACCA